rnacentral:rRNA from 1 species
UCGAAACCUGUAUAGCAGAACGACCCGUGAACCCGUUUACCAACCCCGAGGGGUACGGCACGCCCCAUCCCCCUCGGAGCCAAAACACGUCGAAAGACGUGCAGCGGCAAGAACCAAAACACCGGCGCGGGUUGCGCCAAGGACUAUGAAAUUUUACCCUGUCCCGCUGCCUCGGGUUACCGGGUGCCGCGGCGAUGGCGCGUCAAAAUAUUUAAAAAUGAACGACUCUCGGCAACGGAUAUCUCGGCUCUCGCAUCGAUGAAGAACGUAGCGAAAUGCGAUACUUGGUGUGAAUUGCAGAAUCCCGUGAACCAUCGAGUCUUUGAACGCAAGUUGCGCCCGAAGCCAUCCGGCUGAGGGCACGUCUGCCUGGGCGUCACGCAUCGCGUCGCCCCCUACACCUCCAUUUUGGAGCUGAUAGAGGGGCGGAAUAUGGCCCCCCGUGCGCCCCCGCGUGCGGCCGGCCUAAACAAGGAGCCCGUGGCCGCAAGCGCCGCGACGUUUGGUGGUUGAAUCUCGAGCAUCGCGUCGCGCGUCGCAGCGUACUCGGAGACCUCGACGGACCCUUAGGCACAGCAGCCUACCCUUGCGACCCC